rnacentral:rRNA from 1 species
GAUGAACGCUGGCGGCGUGCCUAAUACAUGCAAGUCGAGCGAACAGACGAGAGCUUGCUCCUCUGACGUUAGCGGCGGACGGGUGAGUAACACGUGGAUAACCUACCUAUAAGACUGGGAUAACUUCGGGAAACCGGAGCUAAUACCGGAUAAUAUAUUUAACCGCAUGGUUCAAUAGUGAAAGACGGUUUUGCUGUCACUUAUAGAUGGAUCCGCGCCGCAUUAGCUAGUUGGUAAGGUAACGGCUUACCAAGGCAACGAUGCGUAGCCGACCUGAGAGGGUGAUCGGCCACACUGGAACUGAGACACGGUCCAGACUCCUACGGGAGGCAGCAGUAGGGAAUCUUCCGCAAUGGGCGAAAGCCUGACGGAGCAACGCCGCGUGAGUGAUGAAGGUCUUCGGAUCGUAAAACUCUGUUAUUAGGGAAGAACAAAUGUGUAAGUAACUAUGCACGUCUUGACGGUACCUAAUCAGAAAGCCACGGCUAACUACGUG